GCUAGUAAUGGCAGGUCAGCAUACUGCCGUGAAUACGUUCCCGGGCCUUGUACACACCGCCCGUCACACCAUGAGAGUUGGGGAUACCCAAAGCCCGUGAGCCAACUUAUAAGAGGCAGCGGUCUAAGGUAGAAUCAAUGAUUGGGUGAAGUCGUAACAAGGUACC
rnacentral:rRNA from 1 species